rnacentral:rRNA from 1 species
AGCAGUCGCCGCGGGAAAACGAAGGGUGCAAGCGUUACUCGGAGUUACUGGGCGUAAAGCGUGUGUAGGUGGUUGUUUAAGUCUGUCGUGAAAGCCCUGGGCUCAACCUGGGAAUUGCGAUGGAUACUGGGCGACUAGAGUGCGGUAGAGGAUAGUGGAAUUUCCGGUGUAGCAGUGAAAUGCGUAGAGAUCGGAAGGAACAUCUGUGGCGAAGGCGACUAUCUGGGCCAACACUGACACUGAGACACGAAAGCGUGGGGAGCAAACAGGAUUAGAUACCCCGGUAGUCCCUGUCUCUUAUAC